ACGGAAGGCAGCAGUGGGGAAUAUUGCACAAUGGGCGAAAGCCUGAUGCAGCGACGCCGCGUGAGUGAAGAAGUAUCUCGGUAUGUAAAGCUCUAUCAGCAGGGAAGAAAAUGACGGUACCUGACUAAGAAGCCCCGGCUAACUACGUGCCAGCAGCCGCGGUAAUACGUAGGGGGCAAGCGUUAUCCGGAUUUACUGGGUGUAAAGGGAGCGUAGACGGUUUGGCAAGUCUGAAGUGAAAUGCGGGGGCUCAACUACUGAACUGCUUUGGAAACUGUCGAACUAGAGUGCAGGAGAGGUAAGUGGAAUUCCUAGUGUAGCGGUGAAAUGCGUAGAUAUUAGGAGGAACACCAGUGGCGAAGGCGGCUUACUGGACUGUAACUGACGUUGAGGCUCGAAAGCGUGGGGAGCAAACAGGAUUAGAUACCCUGGUA
rnacentral:rRNA from 2 species